UAGGUUUUAGGUUUAGGUUAAGGUUAGGUUAUAGGUUAUAAGUUUAGGUUAUAGGUUAAGGUUUAGGUUAUAGGUUUUGUUUUAGGUUAAGGUUAUAGGUCUAUGUGAACUUACCAACAGGUUGGAUCUCAAAUAUUCACCAUGGUGGGCCGUAGGAAGAAAUCAAUGGUCGGGGGCACUGUCCCCACCAUGAUGUUUAGUUUUAGCUAUUAGUUUUAGGUGUAGGUUUAGGUUUAGGGUUAUACUAGGGUUUGCUCCAACAAUUUUGAGCUAAUACAUAAAUACGGCCUGUCCAAAUGGCCAAGUCACUCCAAUGCU